UACGUAGGGUGCAAGCGUUGUCCGGAAUUAUUGGGCGUAAAGAGCCCGUAGGCGGUCUGUCACGUCGGGCGUGAAAAUCCAGGGCUUAACCCUGGACCUGCGUUCGAUACGGGCAGACUAGAGUUCGGUAGGGGAGACUGGAAUUCCAGGUGUAGCAGUGAAAUGCGUAGAGAUCUGGAGGAACACCGAUGGCGAAGGCAGCCCCCUGGGCUAACACUGACGCUCAUGCACGAAAGCGUGGGGAGCAAACAGG
rnacentral:rRNA from 1 species